rnacentral:rRNA from 1 species
AUUGAACGCUGGCGGCAGGCCUAACACAUGCAAGUCGGGCGAGUGGCGGACGGGUGAGUAAUGUCUGGGGAACUGCCUGAUGGAGGGGGAUAACUACUGGAAACGGUAGCUAAUACCGCAUACCAUCGGAUGUGCCCAGAUGGGAUUAGCUAGUAGGUGGGGUAAAGGCUCACCUAGGCGACGAUCCCUAGCUGGUCUGAGAGGAUGACGAGCCAGACCGGAAAUGAUGCACGGGCGAGACUGCUACGGGAGGUACCGGUGGGGAAAAUGGCAGAAUGUGCGCAAUGCGGGAGCACCUAUGGCGGGGGUAGCGAGAAGGCGUUGGGGUUUUAAAGUUCGUAAAGCGGGGAGGCGUUACCCGCAGAAGAAGCACCGGCUAACUCCGUGCCAGCAGCCGCGGUAAUUC